GUCAAUGAGGAUGAUGAGAAAAUAAAACUUUCGUUCUUUCAAAUUUCCCAUGCGAAAAAUAAAUAGAGACUUGAACUGAAGAU
rfam:Glycine max cultivar Williams 82 chromosome 6, whole genome shotgun sequence.